GACCUGCGGAAGGAUCAUACACACCAAAAACUUUCACGUGACUGUCUAGCAUGUUUUGUGCCUUUCAUUAGGCUAAACGAAGGUCGGAGUAAAAUCUGGCUGAUCUAUCUUUUUAAACCCCUUACUUAAUGACUGAUUUAUACUGUGAGGACGAAAGUCUUUGCUUUUAACUAGAUAACAACUUUCAGCAGUGGAUGUCUAGGCUCGCACAUCGAUGAAGAACGCUGCGAACUGCGAUACGUAAUGCGAAUUGCAGAAUUCAGUGAGUCAUCGAAAUUUUGAACGCAUAUUGCACUUUCGGGUUAUACCUGGAAGUAUGUCUGUAUCAGUGUCCGUACAAUAAACUUGCCUUUCUUUUUCUGUGUAGUCAGUGAUAGAGAUGGCCGAUGUGAAGUGUCUCGAUCUGUGCAUGUAUGCCACAUUGAUCGAGUCCUUUUAAAUGUACACUGUUUUUUUCUCUUGUUUCUAUGAGGUACUGCUCGAACGGAGUGAUCUUUGGAUUGCUUGCAUGUUUGGUGGCAACUUCGGUUUAGACGCUAGGAGUAAAUGCUCGAUUCGCGGUAUGUUAGGCUUCGGCUGGACAAUGUUGCUUAUUAGGCGUUGACUCUGUUUUUACCUUGAGGUACCAUUAUUUGUGUGAGAUGUGUCUAUUGAUUGCUUGCAAGUAAGGUGUUGCUUGAUAGUAACGCUUCGAUGCUGCUUUUCGGAGUGGUGUUGAGGUUGAGGAUAGCACAAUUUGGGAAAAUUUUGUACACUGUUAUUUGUUAGCUGUGUAUCUCAAUUGGACCUGAUAUCAGACAGACUACCCGCUGACUUAGCAUAUCAAUAGCGAGAAAAGAAA
rnacentral:rRNA from 1 species